CAGCCGCCGCGGCAAUACGUAGGUGGCAAGCGUUGUCCGGAAUUAUUGGGCGUAAAGCGCGCGCAGGCGGUCCUUUAAGUCUGAUGUGAAAGCCCCCGGCUCAACCGGGGAGGGUCAUUGGAAACUGGGGGACUUGAGUGCAGGAGAGGGAAGUGGAAUUCCACGUGUAGCGGUGAAAUGCGUAGAGAUGUGGAGGAACACCAGUGGCGAAGGCGGCUUCCUGGCCUGUAACUGACGCUGAGGCGCGAAAGCGUGGGGAGCAAACAGGAUUAGAUACCCUGGUAGUCCACGCCGUAAACGAUGAGUGCUAAGUGUUAGGGGGUUUCCGCCCCUUAGUGCUGCAGCUAACGCAUUAAGCACUCCGCCUGGGGAGUACGGCCGCAAGGCUGAAACUUAAAGGAAUUGGCGGG
rnacentral:rRNA from 1 species